rnacentral:rRNA from 1 species
UUUCGCAAUGCCCGAAAGGGUGACGAAGCGACGCCGCGUGUGGGAAGAAGGCCUUCGGGUUGUAAACCGCUGUUGGGAGUUAGGAAGUGUGGGAGUGUUAAUAGCGCUUCCACUUGACUAAAGCUCCAGAGGAAGCCACGGCUAACUCUGUGCCAGCAGCCGCGGUAAUACAGAGGCGGCAAGCGUUGUUCGGAAUUAUUGGGCGUAAAGAGCACGUAGGCGGCUCUGCAAGUCAGCUGUGAAAGCCUCCUGCUUAACGGGAGAAGUGCAGUUGAAACUACGGGGCUAGAGUGCGGAAGGGGAGAGUGGAACUUCUGGUGGAGCGGUGAAAUGCGUAGAUAUCAGAAGGAACACCGGCGGCGAAAGCGGCUCUCUGGUCCGUAACUGACGCUGAGGUGCGAAAGCCAGGGGAGCAAACGGGGUUAGAUACCCCGGUAGUCCUGGCCGUAAACGAUGGGCACUAAGUAGAGGGGUUUU